rnacentral:rRNA from 1 species
AUGUUAUGCUUGACCACUUCCUACAUGAGAUUGUUCACUUGGUGUCUUCUGUCUCAAAUGUCGCUCAGGUUCUUUCUCCGUGUGACAAUCCAGCUCGGCUUGACUGGUAUGAAAGUUGCAUGUUAUUCAGGUUGCACAUCUCACAAUUGUUUAGAAGAAAUGCAUAUUCUUUAUCCAUAUCUACAUUUGCUUUUAGUCAUAGCAAAAAGGGACAAGGACGACGACUUCAACAGUGAUAGGACGGAAGCCAGUAUGCCUGGACCAACAAGCCAGUGUUCUUUCUUCCCUUCUUUCAUUACGUCGGGAGUGGAUAAUCAACUUUCAUUUUUCUUUUCUGUACCUUCUUAUUUAUGCAUCUUAGUUAGGAAUCUAACUACGUUUCUUUGCAUCAUGGAAUAUUUUUUACAGGAUUUGCAGACAUUUGCUAAGCUUAAAUACGUGAAUAUGGACAUGUGGUAUUAUUCAUUAGAGUGGACAGGUGAAUGUAGACAAUUUCGGUGGUUUAUAAUUUUUAUCAGAGGCUACAAGGAACUAAGGAGCGGCAGUUGGAGAAGAAGGGUGCCAAAAUCCAAAAAGGAAUUGGGCAUGCAGCCACUCCACUGA